GUGCUGGCUUCGGCAGCACCUACACUAAAAUCGGAAGGAUACAGAGAUUAGCAUGGCCCCUGGGCAAGGAUGACACGCAAAUUUGUGAAGCAUUCCAUAUUUUU